rnacentral:misc_RNA from 1 species
GAUGAAGAACGUAGCGAAAUGCGAUAAGUAAUGUGAAUUGCAGAAUUCAGUGAAUCAUCGAAUCUUUGAACGCACCUUGCGCCCUUUGGCCAUUCCGAAGGGCAUGCCUGUUUGAGUAUCAUGAACACCUCAACUCUUCAUGGUUUUCCAUGAUGAGCUUGGACUUUGGGGGUCUUGCUGGCCUGUGGGUCGGCUCCUCUCAAAUGAAUCAGCUUGCCGGUUUUUGGUGGGCAUCACAGGUGUGAUAACUAUCUACGCUUGUGGUUUUCCACCAUGGUAACCUUCAGCAGUGGAGGUUCACUGGAGCUUACAAAUGUCUCUCCUCUGUGAGGACAGCCCUUUGAAUGUUUGAUCUCAAAUCAGGUAGGACUACCCGCUGAACUUAAGCAUAUCAAUAAGCGGAGGA